CAGUAGCCACGGGAAAACGAAGGGGGCUAGCGUUGUUCGGAUUUACUGGGCGUAAAGGGCGCGUAGGCGGACUGAUAAGUCAGGGGUGAAAUCCCAAGGCUCAACCUUGGAACUGCCUUUGAUACUGUUUGUCUUGAGUUCGAGAGAGGUAAGUGGAACUGCGAGUGUAGAGGUGAAAUUCGUAGAUAUUCGCAAGAACACCAGUGGCGAAGGCGGCUUACUGGCUCGAUACUGACGCUGAGGCGCGAAAGCGUGGGGAGCAAACAGGAUUAGAUACCCCGGUAGUCCCUGUCUCUUAUAU
rnacentral:rRNA from 1 species